GUCCCUUUUUCUGUCGACGAACUACCAACCUAUCUCCUUUAUUUUAGUUGAACCUUUUGACCGCCGCCAAACAUAAACAUCUAGAAGGAUGGAAGACACCGAAAGGUCCUCACCAGAGUGGACCCCCCAGCAUGGGGAGAGGAAAGGGUGACCCGCAUGGAGAACGAUCACAACUGAUCUGGAGAGUCUUGCUAUGGACAGAGUGAAAUAGAGGUCUGCUGCUUUUGUCCAAUGCUGGCGAAAUAAGCCGCGGGUCCAGGUGCCGCGGUUCCGACCGUCAGGGACCGGGUAGAGGCUGCGAGGACCUCCGCUCUGCCGUCUCUACUGUAGACCGGGGUGUUGUUGUCGACAGCCACCUCGCUGUCCGCCGCCGGACCGCUGUCUUCACUGGUGUCUGGGCCGUCCUCCUGCGCCUCCGAGCCGCCGACUGCAUCGAUGAUCGGGGUGAAGUCCUCCGUCGAGCCGCCGACCGCUGGAACACAGGAUGACAUGCAGAUCCGCGUGUUCAACUACAACACUUUGGAGCGUGUUCACAUGUUUGAGGCCCACUCUGACUACAUCCGCUGCAUUGCUGUCCACCCCACACAGCCCUACAUCCUCACCAGCAGCGAUGAUAAGUUGAUCAAGCUGUGGGACUGGGAGAAGAAGUAGUCUUGCAGCCAGGUGUUUGAGGGCCACACGCACUAUGUGAUGCAAAUUGUCAUCAAUCCAAAAGACAACAAUCAGUUUUUUUUGUUUUUUUUAUUUAUUUAUUUUAAAUUAAAUCAACAUAGAAAAAACCACACGAUACACUUUCAACUAGUGCAUCAACCCAGAAAAAAAACCCUCCCUCCCCUAUUCACACUCACACACACCCACUCACACAAAAGGGGUUGUUUCUUUCUGCCAUCAAUACUCUGGUUUCCACA